CCACUGCCAUUGCCUGCCAAAGAAGUAGAAAAAGAAGACGAAAAGAGAGAAAGAGAAGAUGACGUGGCAAACGUACGUCGACGACCACCUGAUAUGUGCGACGUGGAAGGCAACCGCCUCACCGCGGCCGCCAUCCUCGGCCAAGAUCGGCAGCCUUUGGGCUCAGAGCUCCACCGUUUCUCAGGUUUCGGUUUGAUGAGGAUUUGGAUCCGGGCCUGUUUUUGCUCGUUUUCUUCUAAUCGGAUUACCGAUUGCGGGUACUUCGUUUGUAUCUCGGUCGGAACAAUUUCGAUUGGAAUCAAAGUUUGAAUUGCUGGAUCAGAGAAUUGAUUUCGAGUAAGGAUUAGAACUUCUUAGAUUAAAGAUCAGAGCUCUACUAAAUAUUUCUUGAAGAAAAGUUAAGUUUUGAUGUCCAUCGAGUUUGCCCUGCAUGGCUGAUCCCGUUGAUUCAGCAUUUAUAUUUCCCCGAGAAUCUGGGGCUUGACUUCUAUCGAUCUAUGGAUACAUGAUAUGGAAAAAAGCUUAUAACAUUUGUGCGGGGAUGCUCAGAAGUUCGAUUUUGUGCAAGUGUGUUAUUGACACAGUGUAAGGCCUUGGACAUGGGAGAAGUUUACCUGUGCUUGUCUGUUACAAAACUGCAUACAGAUGAAGAUAGUUGCAGAGUUUCCGCAAGAAUGAAAUGGUUGACAGAUCUUUCUGGCGGCUUCUUAAUUAAGGAAUUUUGUUCGAGAUGUUUCUUGAUCGGGCACACUAUUGAAUUGAAUGCCACGGAUAUCGUUUCUUCCCCGUGAAAUGAAACUUUUUACUUAUCUGCUUCCAGUAUUGCUAUUGUUUCAGUUCAAGCCUGAAGAGAUCACUGGGAUCGUGGACGAAUUUAAAGAACCUGGAACACUUGCAAAGAGGACCUGGUGGUGUAGCCAUCAAGAAGACCAUGAACCAAUGGCUCCUGGCCAGUGCAAUAUGGUCAUGGAGAGGCUUUGACUUUAUAAUCCUGUUCAUCAAAUUUUUUCUUGGUCCCUGAUGCAAAUUCCGGAGUACUAUUUAUUGAAGCUCUCUGAGUGGCCAUCUACUGCUCCUUUUUUACGGACUAGACUCAGUUGAGAUGUCUGUACAAAAGAUGAGAACCCCUUCCAUUACAGGAAGAUGAACAAAAUGUGAGAAGAUCUUAACUGAUUUCAGUUACUUGGCAAAAAAAUUGUUACACACUAUCUGAGUUCCCAACGCUUAAAAGAAACGACGAGAUCAUGAGGAAGAGUCUCAAAAUCCAUCUGGCCAGUUUGCUGCUAUGGCAAGCAGAAGUAGAGGUUAAUGCUGUUGCAUUGGUUGCCCUCGUUUUGUUUGGCCUGCACAUGAUUCACGGAUCUGUAAGAACAUUUACUCAACGUUUCCAGUUCGCAAAUCCAGAAAAAUCAUAAUCA